GUACUGACCUGGCAGGGGAUGUACCAUGAUCACGAAGGUGGUUUGCCCAGGGCGAGGCUUACCCAUUGCACUCCGGAUGUGCUGACCCCUGCAGUUUCCCCAAAUGCAGGAAAUUCCACUGCAUAAUUUGUGGUAGUGGGGGACUGCGUUAGUGUGCUCCCCUG